AGCAGCCGCGGUAAUUCCAGCUCCAGUAGCGUAUAUUAAAGUUGUUGCGGUUAAAAAGCUCGUAGUUGAAUUUCGGGAUUAGUACGUUGGUCGUGCCUUAGGUACGUACUGGUGUUACUGGUUCCUACCUUCUGACGAACCAUCAUGUCAUUAAUUUGGUGUGGCGGGGAAUCAGGACUGUUACUUUGAAAAAAUUAGAGUGUUUAAAGCAGGCUCGCGCUUGAAUACGUUAGCAUGGAAUAAUGAAAUAGGACGUUGACCCUAUUUUGUUGGUUUCUAGGAUUGACGUAAUGAUUAAUAGGGAUAGUUGGGGGCAUUGGUAUUCAAUUGUCAGAGGUGAAAUUCUUGGAUUUAUUGAAGACUAACUACUGUGAAAGCAUUUGCCAAGGAUGUUUUCAUUAAUCAAGAACGAAAGUUAGGGGAUCGAAGACGAUCAGAUACCGUCGUAGUCUUAACCAUAAACUAUGCCGACUAGGGAUCGGAUGAUGUUAAUUUAAUGACUCA
rnacentral:rRNA from 1 species